GUCUACGGUCAUGCCACCCUGAACAAGUCCUAUCCCUCCUGAUCUCAGAAGCUAAGCAGGGUCGGGCCUGGUUGGUACUUGGAUGGGAGACCAUCUAGGAAGACCAGGUGCUGUAGGCG
rnacentral:rRNA from 1 species